rnacentral:misc_RNA from 1 species
AGACAUGAAAAAAAAAAGGCAAGAUCACAUCAAAGAAAGCCUAUGGACCCAAGAUUAUAUUCAGCACCAAGAUAAUCUGAACAAAGAAAAUCAGCCCAAUCCAUCUCAACCUAGGAACCCUAGGCAUACUGGGAAGACAAAAUCAUCCAGCAAUGCCAACGCCGUCAUCCACACCGGCACUAAGCAAGAUUACCGGCGGAUAGACGUGUGUAAAGAAAUCGCAAACCGAUCAUUAAAGCAAAUAGCACAUUUGCAUCAGCUAUUCAGAUUGGUGAUCCUGUUUCAAUUGACAGAGCUGUUUAUGCGUUACAAAAUUCAAAUGGGAUUGUUGAGGAGGCUACCGAGGAGGAGCUAAUGGAUGCAAUGGCUCAAGCAGAUUCUACCGGGAUGUUUAUAUGUCCACAUACAGGGGUGGCAUUGACAGCAUUGACGAAGCUCAGGAAUAGUGGGGUUAUAACGUCUAAUGAUCGGACAGUGGUCGUGAGUACAGCUCAUGGGUUAAAAUUUACUCAGAGUAAGAUUGAUUAUCACUCUAGUGAUAUUAAAGACAUGGCUUGUAGGUUUGCUAAUCCACCUGUGAGUGUUAAGGCGGAUUUUGGGUCAGUUAUGGAUGUUCUGAAGAAGUAUUUGUUGAGUAAAGAAUCUUAAUAUUAGAUUGAUCAUUGUAAGUUUUGCUUAUGUAGCUCUAGAUCAUUGUUAUUUCAUGCCCACUGGUGUUGUCAUUUAAGGAUUUUUGGUACUGGAUGGUUCUAGAUAAGAUUUCAAAUUCUCUUUUGUUAUUGUUUUUAGAGGAGAAACCAUAUGGUCAACUAGUCAUUUUGGGAUGGAGUCCUCAUCAUUUGGAUUUAAUGAAAUUUUUGUUGAGCUUUCUUCCUGAAGCAUUUAUUACUGUAUCUCACGUUUAUCUUUUGUUGUAUGCAUGAUUUCAUUAUUGAAAAUGUAUUCAUUACGAGGAAAAUGAGUUUUUCGGUUUAGAAAAGGGCAUGCAUCAGGGAAUCGAUGAGCAUAUUUAUUAGAAGCUGAAUGUUGAAAUGAUAAUUAGAAGUUGUUCACCUAUGAAACUUGAUUAUAAAAUGACUAUUUCUAGAUCUCAUGCUUUUUCCCAAUUUCUCCAGCUUGGGCUGGAUUGUAUAAAGGUGCUUACUUGCAGGCUUGUAAAGGUUGCAUUUUGCAUCGAUGCUGUUGAUUGAGGAACAUUGGUUGAGGCGGGUUGGACAGCGGAGUCGGUGAAGUCUCGUAAUGCUCUGCAUGGACAGAACAGAGUAUUCUUGAGUAUCAUUCCAUGGUUUGAAGGUUAUCUGUCAGCGUGUGUUAAGGCAUAUUUUGAAUUGAUUUAUGCAGACUAAUAUUGGAGUUUAUGUUACAGCGAGUAUCUAAUGCAAUCUGGGGAUUUUCCAGUCCCCUCAAUUAUUGGCUUCUCAUCGCAAUUGGCUUCAUCAUAAAAUACCGUCUCUGAAUGAGAAGCCAUUAGCUCUUCUCACAAUUGCUCAUAUCUGUGGCAAGCCUUUCACGUCUUUCAACUGUUAUUGAUGUUUCUCCACUUUCUCUGUCAUUGAUUAGCAUUGGCAAAACCUAUAAAUCCAUCAAAUCAUUCCUGGUUGGAUCCAAGCCACAAUUCCCCUGCCAAAGUUGGUGGCAAACAGGUUUCUCUCUACCUUGGAAUUCAAAUAAUUUUGAUUAAUAUUAUUUCCUACCUGCUUGAUCAAAGUUUCAGAAGGAAGACCAAAUCAAGAGAACAAAAACAACCAAAAUCUUAAAUUAAAAUUUUUGUUUCAAGAUUAAGAAAACUAUCAUCCCUAACAAAAAAAAAAAAAGGCUUUUUCUCCUCUUGCUACACCCCCCAACCCCCUUCUCCCUCUCUCUCUUUUACACAACCACAGCCCGUUGAUCUCUAACACAGCCAGCCCUCCGCCUUCCCAAAGGGAGAAUCUCUAUUCGGGUGCACUUGGUAAGCUAAAGAACCGCCAAGAGAAUGAGAGAGAUGGGCCUCUCAAAGCCAUUGUUCUACCUUUUCUGUCCUGCUUAACGCGCCUCUCAAAGCCAUUGUUCUACCUUUUCUGUCCUGCUUAACGCCACUGGAGGUGGUUGGAAAUGGUAUGUGGGUGUCCAUCAUCGACGUGAAAAUGGGUGCCUCGUGAGAACAGAAUUUUCAUGGGCAUCUGUCUCUACAUAUUUGUGACGAAGAAAUGCAAAAAGCAAUAGUCAAUCCAUCUCUACGCUCUACUUCAAUUUUCUUUUUGAAGAUAAGAAUUAAGAAAUCAACAAGUGUUUGUCAACAAUCGUUUAAGCAAAGCAGAAAAUCUUGAAAGCAACCUUCCAAACCAUUCUUAAGGUUCUCAAGGCCAACUGCUUCAACGAGACAGAAAAUGAUUGUCUUGAUAGUGAAAAAAGAGGGGAUAAGUAUUGAGGGGCAAAAAUGUAGAAACAAAUCAUUUGUCCAACUGGGCACAUUUUUUCCACUUAAACCAUUAUAGGAAAAUGACAAGUUUCUGUAAUAAUGGAGAUGUUAAAGCUACCCUUCCUAAAUAUCUCAAAAGUCAAUCCCUCUAUAGCUUCACUGAGUGUCAUAGAAGAGGAGAAGAGGAGAGAGCAUGGAGCAGAAACAGAACAUGGAACAAUUCAAGGGCCAAACAGGAUUACCAAAAUUUGCCGUCCCUCAACGUUAUGAUCUUCACCUCAAACCAGACCUCUCUCUGUGCAGUUUUUCUGGUACCAUCAAUAUUAACCUUAGCAUCACUGAGCCCACUAGAUUUAUUGUAUUAAAUGCCUUGGAGCUCAAUAUCCAUGAAGUCUUGUUCACCAACUCUCACAACCAAAAAUAUUAUCCAAAUGAUUUUAUUUUGGAUUGCGAUGAUGAGAUACUUGUGUUGGUCUUCCAUGAAAUUCUUGAUGUUGGUGAUGGAGUGCUGGAGAUCAAGUUUUCUGGGAUGCUUAAUGAGCACUUGAGGGGCUUCUAUAAAUGUACUUAUGUGGAUGGUGAAGAGAAAAAGAAUAUGGCAGUUACUCAGUUUGAAGCAGUGGAUGCAAGGAGGUGUUUUCCAUGCUGGGAUGAACCUGCUCUUAAGGCAACCUUCAAAAUAACAAUAGAUGUGCCACUAGAGUUGACAGCAUUGUCCAACAUGCCAAUUAUUGAUGAAAAGCAUGAUGGGAAUGUUAAGACUGUUUAUUUUGAGGAAUCUCCUCUAAUGUCAACUUAUUUGGUGGCUGUUGUCAUAGGUUUAUUUGAUCAUAUUGAAGAUACAACAUCUGAUGGAGUUAAAGUUCGUGUAUACUGUCCUGUGGGUAAGAGUGAUAAAGGGAAAUAUGCUUUAAGCAUUGCUGUUAAGGCACUUGACCUAUAUACUGAGUACUUCUCAAUGCCUUACCCACUUCCUAAAUUGGAUAUGGUUGCUGUCCCUGAAUUUGCUGGUGGAGCUAUGGAGAACUAUGGUCUAAUAAUAUACCGUGAAAUUGAUUUACUACAUGAUGAUUUGCAGUCUACAGCAUAUAGAAAGCAGAGACUGACAAUUGUUGUGCUGCAUGAAGUGGCCCAUCAAUGGUUUGGCAAUCUGGUAACAAUGGAAUGGUGGACUCAUUUAUGGCUCAAUGAGGGUUUUGCAACAUGGAUUAGUUACAUGGCAACAGAUAAGUUGUUUCCUGAGUGGAAAAUAUGGACUCAAUUUCUUCAACUUACUUCCAGUGGCUUGGGUAUGGAUGCCUUAGAAGGAUCGCAUCCAAUUGAGGUAGAGAUAGAACAUGCUCGUUCAGUGGAUGAAAUCUUUGAUGCUGUCAGCUAUAAGAAGGGAUCUGCUAUCAUCCGUAUGUUGCAGGGCUAUCUUGGGGAUGACAUGAUCCAGAAGUCCUUGAGUUCGUACAUGAAAAAAUAUGCCUGGGGAAAUGCAAGAACAGAAGAUUUAUGGAGCAUUAUUUCAGAAGAAUCUGGUGUUCAAGUAAGCUCAAUGAUGGACAGUUGGACAAAGCAAAAAGGAUAUCCAGUCAUCUCUGUGAAAUAUGAAGAUGGUUUUUUGGAAUUUGAACAGUCGCAAUUCCUCACAUCUGGUUUGCAUGGUAAAGGAAGAUGGAUUGUUCCAAUAACCAUGCUCCUUGGAUCUUACAACAGAGGCAAGAAUUUCCUGUUGCAGUUAAAAGCUGAAAGGGUGGACACAUCUGAUCUAAUUUCAGAUUCUGAUGGCAAGUCAAGCUCAUUAAAUGAAAACAAUAGAGAGAAAUUUGACAAACUUAUAUGGAUCAAAAUAAACAUAGAGCAGAGUGGCUUCUAUAGAGUAAAGUAUGACGAAGAACUUUCAGCAAGGCUGAGGAAAGCAGUAGAGCACGAUAGCUUGUCAGCAGCUGAUAAAUUAGGCAUUUUGGAUGAUACAUGUGCUCUUUGCGAGGCUUCUGAAAUAUCAUUAUCAUCUUUGCUUUCCUUGAUGGAUGUAUACAGAAAAAAACUUGAUUACAUUGUGGUGUCAAAACUCAUUGAUGUCUGUUACAAGAUUGUGGAGAUCUUUGUAGAUGCCUUCCCAGAUUCAGUGAAUGAGCUCAAAGCAUUUUUCAUUAAUCUCCUCCUAUUUUCUGCUGAAAAAUUAGGCUGGGAGCCAAAAGCCGAAGAGAGCCAUUUAGAUGCUUUAUUAAGGGGAGAAAUCUAUAUUGCCCUGGCUACUUUUGGACAUGAUAAAAUGCACAAUGAAGCAUUGCGGCGAUUUCGGACACUGUUAAAUGAUAGAAACACUCCAUUUCUUUCAGUUGGCACAAGGAAGGCUGCAUACAUUGCCGUGAUGAGGAAUGCUAGCUCCACAAACAAGAGUGGCUUUGAGUACUUGUUGAAGAUUUAUAGAGAAGCUGAUACAGUGCAAGAGAAGGAACAGAUUUUGAGUUGUAUAGCAUCUUGUCCAGACCCAGAAAUAGUGCUAGAGGCUUUAAACUUUAUGGUCUCUGAUGAGGUUCGAGAUCAGGACAUUAUCUAUGGACUUACUGGCAUAAGUUUGGAGGGCCGUGAAAUAGCUUGGAGAUGGUUGAAGGUAUUGAGAAAAUAAUGGAAACUCAAGAGAGCAUUGAUUACAAAGCUUAUUACCUUUUAAUGAGGUAUGAUAUAAGUUUGGUCCCUAAUGCAGGAGAACUGGGACCAAAUCUUGAGGAAAUAUGGUGCUGCGUUACUAAUCACCCAUUUCAUUAGAGAUAUUAUCUCACCAGUAAGUAAUUCUUCCUACACAUGAUGUGUGCCUACUGCCAGUGCCUGGAACAUCUGUAAAACCAGUUUUUGAUGGCCACAUGUAUGCUUAGAAACCAGAUCAAAAGCAUGUUUCUUAAAAGAGAACUCUUUGCAUAUACAAAAGCAUAUCUGCUUUUGCAGAGUCUCUGAAUAUUCAUCCCUCGUCGACAAGUUGUGGAUCAAAUUCUCUAGCUUCAUCAAGAAUAGAAGAGAACAAACUUCAAUAAUAGACAAUUAACAUAUAAACAAGGAGGAUUAAGAAUUUAAGAUAACUGUAUAAUAUUUUUGCUUCUCAAGGCAUCUUUCUCCGACAUAAUUACCACAUUGACGAGUUGGGUAUAUAUACAAGCUUUUCUUUAGAGAAAUUCCAUCCCUAAGAAAUGAAAAAAAGCAUCUUCAGCAGUUCUGUUAACUUGUUAACCUGAUAUUUUGUUUUUAGCUUGCUACUGAUAUGAUUAACUUAAUGUGGCAGUUCUGCAGC